AAAACAAAAAAGAAAUGGAUGAGACCAAAACAGGGAUGUCCUAACAUGUGUCUACUACCAGCAUAUCAAAUUUCAUGACUAUCAAAUACCAUAUGAGCAUUUCCCAAUCAAUCUACCAACCUAGGUCACAUGAGCUUGCAAAUUCAACCACCAGAAAGGAAAAUUCACAAUCAAUUUGAAAAUGCAGUGUAAAAUUCCACAAAAAUUCUCAUAGCUUC
rnacentral:lncRNA from 1 species